AUUAAUUUAUAAAAAAAUAAUAAUUAAAAAUUAAAAAUGUUUUAUGGAUAUCUUGAAUUUAAAAAUAAAAAGGACGUAUAAAAACGUAAAGUUAUCAUAAUUUUAAAUAAAAAUUAAAUAUGAUUGAUAAAUAUCCAAAAGGAAAACCUACUAUAAUUAUAGUAUUAUUAUAUUUAUUCAUAAAUUUAAUAAUAAAAACUUAGUAAAUUGAAACAUCUAAUUAACUAAAGGAAAAAAAAAUCAACCGAGAUUCUAUGAGUAAUGGCGAAUGAAAAUAGAAAUUAAGUUUAAAUUAUAUAAAAAAUUAAUAAAAAAAAUUGAAAAAUUUUAUCAAAGAAGGUUAUAAUCCUGUAUAUUAAAAAUAAAUUAUAUAAUUAAAUAAGUAAAAUAAAACACGUGAAAUUUUAUUUGAAUAAAGGUAGACCACUAUCUAAACUUAAAUAUUUUUUAAAUAUCAAUAGUGAACUAGUACUGUAAAGGAAAUGAUGAAAAGAACCAAUUAGGAGUGAAAUAGAACUUAAAAUAAAACAUUUAUAAGCAAUCAGAAUAAUAUAAUAUUAUGAUGAUGUACCUUUUGUAUAAUGGGUCAACGAGUUUUUUUAUAUAGCAAGCUAUAAUAAAUAAAUAAAAGCAUAAAGAAAUUAAAUUAUAAAAAAUAAUAAGUUAUAUAAAAAAGACCCGAAACCAAGUGAUUUAAUCAUAAUCAAGUUUAAAUAGACUGAACUCAUAUAUGUUGUAAAAUAUUGAGAUGAAUUAUGAUUAGGGGUGAAAGGCUAAUCAAACUUGGAAAUAGCUGGUAUUCUGUGAAAUCUAUUUAGGUAGAGUUUUUUAAAAAUAAAUUAUUAUUUAGGGUAAAGCACUUAAUAAACUAAGGGAAUUUAAAAAAAUUUUACUGAAUUUAAUAAAACUUAUAAUAUAAAUAAAUAAAAAUAAAAAAAACAGACAAUAAGCACGAAGGUUUAUAGUCAAAAAGAUAACAGUCUUAAUUAUAAGUUAAGGUUCUUAAAUAAUAAUUAAGUGUAAAAAGAUAUUAUAAUAUUAAGACAACUAAGAGAUGAGCUUGGAAGCAGCUAUUCUUUAAAGAAAUCGUAAUAGAUCAUUAGUUAAUAUAAUAUAAUACUUAUAAUAUAUAGGAUCUAAAAUUAUUUACCAAAACUAUAAAUAUAUUAAAAAAUUAAUAUAUGGUAACAGAACAUUCUGUAAAUAAAUAAAAAUAAAUUGUAAAAUUUAUUGAAUAUAUCAGAAUAGAGAAUGUUGACAUGAGUAACAAAAAAUAAUAAAACAUUAUCACUGUAAGUUUAAGGGUUUCUUAAAUCAUAAUUAAUAAUUAAGAGUUAGUCAGUCCCUAAGAAGAAAGCGAUAGCUAUAAUUAAUGGGUAUUUAAUUAAUAUUUUAAAACAUAUAAAAAUGACAAAUAAAUUUAUUAUUAUUUAUAUUUAAUUGAAUUAUAUAAAAUAAUAUUUAUUUAUCUUCAAGAAAUAAUUUUUAUAAUUGAAUACUGUACUCUAAACCAACACAGGUAAACUAGUAGAAUAUACUAAAGUGAUUAAAAUAAUAAUAUUAAAGGAACUCGGCAAAAUAACUCUGUAACUUAGGGAGAAAGAGUAACAUAAAUUAUAUUUAUGUAUACAAAAUAGAGGAUAGCGACUGUUUAAUAAAAACACAAGGCUUUGCUAAAUUAUAAAAUAAAGUAUAAAGCCUGACGCCUGCCCGGUGUUGUAAAUAUAAAAAGAAAAGUGAAAGCUUUGAAUUUAAAAUCCAAUAAACGGCGGCCGUAACCAUAACGGUCAUAAAGUAGCGAAAUUCCUUGGCGGGUAAGUUCCGUCCUGCACGAAUGGCGUAACGACUUUCCUACUGUCUCUAAUAUUAAUUUAGUGAAUUUGAAUUUUCCGUGAAGAUGCGGAAUACUAAUAACUAGACGGAAAGACCCUAUGCACCUUUACUGAAUUCAUAUAUUGUUUAUAAAAAUUCAUUAUAUAGAAUAGAUGGUAGCUUAGUAUAAUCUUAAUUUAUUAAUUAUUUAUGGCAAUAGUGGAAUACCAUUUUUUGAUAUUUUUAUAACUAAUUUAUAAUUUAUAAUUAAAUUAUAAAAGAUUUUAUGAUUGUUAGUUUAACUGGGGCGGUUUCCUUUUAAAGAGUAACAAAGGAGUACAAAGGUAAGUUCAAAUUAGUUAGAAACUAAUUAAAGAGUAUAAUGGCAUAAACUUGCUUAAUUGAAAAAUUAACAAAUUAAUCAAAGACGAAAGUCGGUCAUAAUGAUCCAAUAAUUCUAUGUGGAAAGGUUAUUGCUUAACGGAUAAAAGGUACGCUAGGGAUAACAGGCUAAUGAUUUUUAAGAGUUCUUAUCGACAAAAUCGUUUGGCACCUCGAUGUCGGCUCAUCACAUCCUGAAGCUGAAGGCGGUUUCAAGGGUACGGCUGUUCGCCGUUUAAAGUGGUACGUGAGCUGGGUUUAGAACGUCGCGAGACAGUUCGGUCCCUAUCUAUUAUUAGUUUAAUAAAAUAAAAAAGAUCUAUUUUUAGUACGAGAGGAUUAAAAUGGAUAUAGCUAUAGUGUAUAAAUUAUUAUGUCAAUAGUAUUAUUUAGUAGCCACCUAUAGAACAGAUAAUUAUUGAAUGCAUAUAAAAUAAGAAUCCUUCUUUUAUUUAUUUUAUUUUAAAGAGUUAUAAAAGAUUAUUAUAAUUUAUAGACUAAAUGUAUAAAUAUUAUAAAAUAUUAGCUAAUUAGUACUAAAACUCUUUUUUUAAUUAUUAUUAUUGGUGUUAUUUAUUU
rnacentral:rRNA from 1 species